GAGGGUAUAGCUCAGUGGUAGAGUGCAUACAUAGCAUGCACAAGGUUCUGGGUUCAGUCCCCAGUGCCUCCA
rnacentral:tRNA from 1 species